UAGCCAUGCGAGUCUAGCCAGUUUAAGCACGUUAACUGGCGGCGAACGGCUCAUUAACACGUAGUCAACCUGCCCUCGGGACGAGAACAAUCUCGGGAAACUGAGGCUAAUUCUUGAUAGGUCAAGAUUCCUGGAAUGGGUUUUGGCUUAAAGAGGUAGCGGCAUCUCGUUACUUUCGCCCGAGGAUGGGACUGCGGCCGAUCAGGCUGUUGGUGAGGUAAAGGCUCACCAAACCAGUAACCGGUACGGGCUUUGAGAGAAGGAGCCCGGAGAUGGACACUGAGACAAGGGUCCAGGUCCUACGGGGCGCAGCAGGCGCGAAACCUUCGCAAUGUGCGAAAGCACGACGAGGUUAUUCCGAGUGAUUUCCGCUGAGGAAAUCUUUUCUCAGAUCUAAAAAGUCUGGGGAAUAAGGGGAGGGCAAGUCUGGUGUCAGCCGCCGCGGUAAUACCAGCUCCUCGAGUGGUCAGGGCGUUUAUUGGGCCUAAAGCAUCCGUAGCCGGCUUAGUAGGUCUCCUGUUAAAUCCAACGGCUCAACCGUUGGUCUGCAGGAGAUACCGCUGGGCUAGGAGGCGGGAGAGGCGGACGGUACUCCGAGGGUAGGGGUAAAAUCCUUUGAUCCCCGGAAGACCACCCAGUGGCGAAGGCGGUCCGCCAGAACGCGCUCGACGGUGAGGGAUGAAAGCUGGGGGAGCGAACCGGAUUAGAUAGGCAUGAGUGAUGAUAGAAGAAACAUUACUUUGCCCUAAAAACCCGGGUAGUCCCAGCCGUAAACGAUGCGAGCUAGGUGACACGACGCCUUCGGGGCGUCGUGGUGCCGCAGGGAAGCCGUUAAGCUCGCCGCCUGGGGAGUACGGACGCAAGUCUGAAACUUAAAGGAAUUGGCGGGGGAGCACCACAAGGGGUGAAGCCUGCGGUUCAAUUGGAGUCAACGCCGGGAACCUUACCGGGAGCGACAGCAGAUUGAAGGUCAAGCUGAAGACUUUACCAGACGAGCUGAGAGGAGGUGCAUGGCCGUCGCCAGCUCGUGCCGUGAGGCGUCCUGUUAAGUCAGGCAACGAGCGAGACCCCUACUUCUAAUUGCUAACAGACAUCGCGAGGUGUUUGAAGCUAGUUAGAAGGACUGCCGCCGCUAAGGCGGAGGAAGGAAGGGGCCACGGCAGGUCAGUAUGCCCCGAAACUCCCGGGCCACACGCGGGCUGCAAUGGUAAGGACAAUGGGUUCCGAUCUCGAAAGAGCUAGGCAAUCCCCAAACCUUACCCCAGUUGGGACUGAGGGCUGCAACCCGCCCUCACGAAUAUGGAAUCCCUAGUAACCGCGUGUCAUCAUCGCGCGGUGAAUACGUCCCUGCUCCUUGCACACACCGCCCGUCGCUUCACCGAAGUUGGGCUAGGACGAGGUGGCGUCUUGUUGGCGUUAUCGAAUCUUAACUCGGCAACGGGGGAGAAGUCGUAACAAGGUAGCCGUA
rnacentral:rRNA from 1 species